UCAUUCUGACGUCUCCUGAAUUUCUAGGAAUGCCCCUUCCCUGUUACUAUAUUUGGAGGUAGUUUCUAGGAAAAUAAUUUGCACAGGAUCUGGACUUCAGCACAGCUCCAUUUUCAGAACCACUUUAAGGAUCAUUUUUGCAGCCAGCUCCGGAGCCUCCUUUAAAUGCUUUUGGAUCAGCAGCCCCUGGGUUUGCAACACUGCUCUGAAUGCAGAGUACGAGUCUCACUGCUACUGGCAUCUCCCUUUUCAGGUUCCAUGAGAUUUUUAUUUUAACUUUUUGGAUUCCUUUACCCAGUCACCACUGGAUUUUUUUUUUUCUUACCCCUGAUGUGGCCUCUUGUGGCAUGAGCAUGAUGAAGAAAUGUUUCAGAAGCCUGGCAAUGUGAUCUUUAUGUAAUGAGUCAGGAUUCGUUAAGGGAAGGGAGCAGAGGACUGCUGAGGGAUCAACCUACUCCAGCAGGGGAAUGACAAGCAGUGCUGCUGCUGCCUGGGCUCUCCCAUAUACACUAUUCACACAGCUUCUAUGGAAUGCCGAUCCACCACCCACCACUUCCUAUACAGCUGUAUACCGCAGGGAAAAUAAGGGACUUUUGGGGGCAGAUGUGUUUCACUUACACUACCAUAAUGCCCCUAAAAAUCCUUAUUGUUCUUGCAGUGUUCUUCAGAAUCUCUGGGGCUGGAACCAUGCAAAGAAGAAUCUUCAAUGUUUGAAAUCUGUCAUUUCGAUCUUUGUCUUUUUUUUUGACCAUUUACAAAAACGGAAUUGUGACUUAAAUAAAAGCAAUAAAUAAAAUAAUGUCCAGAGAUUUGGAUAGAUUGAUAGGCAUGUGCUGACUCUUUCAAUAAAAAUCGACCAUGA